GGAGGAAUGACACACCUAUUGAGACUCUUGGAAAGAUCUGAAGGAAGGAAAAAUUCUAAAGAAAUUCCUUGAGGGCUAAUGAGAGGAAAUCCAAGGAUAAAAUUUUUCCUAUUCCCAGUUUUGUCUUGACAAGACCUGCUCAUGGGAUGGCUGUAUAAGGAACAAAUAAAAUAACAGAAGUGAAAAUAAGUUGCUUCUAGGGUAAAAGCACUCAUGGGAGUCACCCAGAUGCCAGAUGCCACCAUAACCAUCCCAGCUUGAUGCUCUGGACACGGCCUACAGUCAAUACCUCUCUCUCUCUCCUAACGUUAGUCAGGGACAACUCUACACCCAUUCUCGGCUGUGAAGAAGUUACAGAAGAAGGCAGGUGCCACAUCUCUGUGGAUUUUUUGCUGUGAAUUGUUGAAUGAGACCAUGGGACCAUCAAUCUGGAUUGAGGGGCAGUACCAAUCCCUUCAGAUUUGCAUCAACUACUGACAUUCUCAGAAAUUGCAUCCUUGAGAAACAUCAAGAAAGUAGAAAACUGCACCAAUUCACAAUAACACAUGCUACAACUAUUCUGACACUUACUUCUACAAACAAACUUCAGGUCUUCUUUAAGGUAAGUGCCAUAAUUAAUGCAUAUUUUGUAUUUAUUUAUUUAAUUUAGAAUAUUUUCCCAUGGUUACAUGAUUCGUGUUCUUUCCCUCCUCUCCUCCCAUUCCCUUCCGGUAGCCAAGGAGCAAUUACACUGGGUUUUACAUGUGUCAUUGAUCAAGACCUAUUUCCAUAUUAUUAAUAUUUGCAAAAGAAUGAUCAUUUAGAGUCUAUAUCCCCAGACAUAUCCCCUUUGAGCCUUGUGAUCAAGCAGUUGUUUUUCUC